UACGGUGGGUGCAAGCGUUAUCCGGAUUCACUGGGUUUAAAGGGUGCGUAGGCGGUCUUCUAAGUCAGUUGUGAAAUACUUCAGCUUAACUGGAGAGGUGCAAUUGAUACUGGAAGACUUGAGUACUGAUGAGGUAGGCGGAAUGGACGGUGUAGCGGUGAAAUGCUUAGAUAUCGUCCAGAACACCGAUAGCGAAGGCAGCUUACUAAGGAGUAACUGACGCUGAGGCACGAAAGUGUGGGGAUCAAACAGG
rnacentral:rRNA from 1 species